AGCGAACGUUAGCGGCGCGCCUAACACAUGCAAGUCGCACGAGAAAGGGCCUCGGCCCCGGUACAGUGGCGCACGGGUGAGUAACACGUGGGUAACCUUCCCCGGAGUGGUGGAUAACCUGCCGAAAGGCGGGCUAAUACAGCAUACGACCGUUGGUCUUCGGACUGGCGGUGAAAGCAGGCCUCUAUAUAUAAGCUUGCGCUCCAGGUUGGGCCCGCGGCCCAUCAGCUAGUUGGCGAGGUAAUGGCUCACC
rnacentral:rRNA from 1 species